GAUGAAGAACGCAGUGAAAUGCGAUAAGUAAUGUGAAUUGCAGAAUUCAGUGAAUCAUCGAGUCUUUGAACGCACAUUGCGCCCCCUGGUAUUCCGGGGGGCAUGCCUGUCCGAGCGUCAUUGCUGCCCUCAAGCACGGCUUGUGUGUUGGGCCCCCGUCCCCGGUUCUCCCCGGGGACGGGCCCGAAAGGCAGCGGCGGCACCGCGUCCGAUCCUCGAGCGUAUGGGGCUUUGUCACCCGCUCUGUAGGCCCGGCCGGCGCCAGCCGACACCCCAACUUUAUUUUCUAAGGUUGACCUCGGAUCAGGUAGGGAUACCCGCUGAACUUAAGCAUAUCAAUAAGCGGAGGA
rnacentral:misc_RNA from 1 species